rnacentral:rRNA from 1 species
UACGGAGGGUGCAAGCGUUAUCCGGAUUCACUGGGGUUAAAGGGUGCGUAGGAGGGCAGGUAAGUCAGUGGUGAAAUCUCCGAGCUUAACUUGGAAACUGCCGUUGAUACUAUCUGCCUUGAAUAUUGUGGAGGUGAGCGGAAUAUGUCAUGUAGCGGUGAAAUGCUUAGAUAUGACAUAGAACACCAAUUGCGAAGGCAGCUCGCUACACAUAUAUUGACACUGAGGCACGAAAGCGUGGGGAUCAAACAGG